rnacentral:rRNA from 1 species
AUUGAACGCUGGCGGCAGGCCUAACACAUGCAAGUCGAGCGGAUGAAGGGAGCUUGCUCCUGGAUUCAGCGGCGGACGGGCGAGUAAUGCCUAGGAAUCUGCCUGGUAGUGGGGGAUAACGUCCGGAAACGGGCGCUAAUACCGCAUACGUCCUGAGGGAGAAAGUGGGGGAUCUUCGGACCUCACGCUAUCAGAUGAGCCUAGGUCGGAUUAGCUAGUUGGUGGGGUAAAGGCCUACCAAGGCGACGAUCCGUAACUGGUCUGAGAGGAUGAUCAGUCACACUGGAACUGAGACACGGUCCAGACUCCUACGGGAGGCAGCAGUAGGGAAUAUUGGACAAUGGGCGAAAGCCUGAUCCAGCCAUGCCGCGUGUGUGAAGAAGGUCUUCGGAUUGUAAAGCACUUUAAGUUGGGAGGAAGGGCAGUAAGUUAAUACCUUGCUGUUUUGACGUUACCAACAGAAUAAGCACCGGCUAACUUCGUG